UUCCGAUAAAGGCAAACCCGUCGAAAGGCGGGGACGCAAAGCCACGGGCCUAAAGAACCGGUUUUUAACCUGUUCAACGGCAGCCGGGUUACCGAA
rnacentral:ncRNA from 1 species